rnacentral:other from 1 species
AAAUUCCUGCUAUGCUCGUGAUGGUGUUCUAUUUUGAACCACAACAUUUUAUACGGGAUAGCGCGUCCGUCUUGCGGAUGUCAGGCCCCCUCGUCUAGGGGAAGGCAGAAGCAAGCGGCAGCUGUUGACCCACCCUGCACAUGCAGGUUUAUAAAAUGACACCACACGGCAUCGUGGGAGUUUC